rnacentral:pre_miRNA from 9 species
UCUUGAUGGCGUAAAAGUUAACUCAAAUUUGUAUGGAGUUGGAACGUUUGCCUACGUUUGCCGCUAGGGGCGCUGUUCCAACUGCAUACAAACUUAAGUUAACUUUUACGCUAUCGA